rnacentral:pre_miRNA from 1 species
CUUGGGGGUGAAGAGGGUCCCUCAGCCCGGAUUGCGAGAGGGCACAGGCCAGGCCAAUGGACCCCAUCAGUACACG